GCCCUCGUGGCCUAACGGAUAAGGCAUCGGUCUCUCAAACCAGGUUGUGGUUCAAUCCCGCCGAGGGUA